CUCGGCCUAUUAUAAGUGAUAGAGUACGUGGGAUUGUAAAUUCUGAGGUGAGGUUUCGGUCGGAGGAGA
rnacentral:tRNA from 1 species